UAACCUGCCCAAGAGAUCGGGAUAACACCUGGAAACAGAUGUUAAUACCGGAUAACAACAGAUGAUGCCUAUCAACUGUUUAAAAGAUGGUUCUGCUAUCACUCUUGGAUGGACCUGCGGUGCAUUAGCUAGUUGGUAGGGUAACGGCCUACCAAGGCGAUGAUGCAUAGCCGAGUUGAGAGACUGAUCGGCCACAUUGGGACUGAGACACGGCCCAAACUCCUACGGGAGGCAGCAGCU
rnacentral:rRNA from 1 species